ACCCUUUGUGACAUACCUAUAACUGUUGCUUCGGCGGGUAGGGUCUCCGCGACCCUCCCGGCCUCCCGCCUCCGGGCGGGUCGGCGCCCGCCGGAGGAUAACCAAACUCUGAUUUAACGACGUUUCUUCUGAGUGGCACAAGCAAAUAAUCAAAACUUUUAACAACGGAUCUCUUGGUUCUGGCAUCGAUGAAGAACGCAGCGAAAUGCGAUAAGUAAUGUGAAUUGCAGAAUUCAGUGAAUCAUCGAAUCUUUGAACGCACAUUGCGCCCGCCAGCAUUCUGGCGGGCAUGCCUGUUCGAGCGUCAUUUCAACCCUCAAGCUCUGCUUGGUGUUGGGGCCCUACAGCUGAUGUAGGCCCUCAAAGGUAGUGGCGGACCCUCUCGGAGCCUCCUUUGCGUAGUAACUUUACGUCUCGCACUGGGAUCCGGAGGGACUCUUGCCGUAAAACCCCCAAUUUUCCAAAGGUUGACCUCGGAUCAGGUAGGAAUACCCGCUGAACUUAAGCAUAUCAA
rnacentral:rRNA from 1 species